UUUCCACUAACAUGGUGAAUCACCUCCUCUUUCUCCUUUUGAUUUCCAGUUUCAUUCUUCAUACUCAUGCCGCCUACUAUUUCACUGAACUCUAUGAGUGGUGGACCCGAACUAGUGGAAAUAACAUAUUCAUCAAAUAUGGCUUCUUGAAUCUGGUUGAAGAAUCUCUUUGAUAAUCUUGAAGCAACCAGUAACUGAAAUGAGUAAGUCUUAACCAUCCACAGAACAGUCCCAACAAGACAAGCAACGAGACCUCUUGUAAUAUAGUUUAUAAUCUUUUUAGUCACUUUUGGUCUCUCCACUCCACGGUCGUCAAACAAUAAACACCAAGACAACAGAACCAAAACAAACCAGAUAAAGGCCCUAACGCUCCUCCUCAACCCAUCCACGUAAUACAGAACCAUAAGCUUUAGCUUGAAGUUUCUUUUGAUCAAGCAAGUCAAAGCAAUCAUCAACCAUUUAGUCACCAAUCGACCACAAAAGAUUACCAAUACCAACACACACCAUUUCCACAAUUUUAACUCCCAUAUCAAAUGGUUUUCCAAUUUGUUCACGGUUAAGCUACCAAUUAACAACCCCAUUACCCAAACAAAUGCAAUCAACUCAAUCACCAUCAAAAUUUUCUUUAUCUUACCACCCUUUCUAUGCUCGUUUUCCUUCUGCUUCUUCUUCUUCUCAUUGCGUCCUGGAUUCACCAAUCUCGGAGCACGCGGUGGUGAAUUCAUCAACUCUGUAUUUCCUUCAACUAAUUUGGCAUCAAUUAGCUCCCCAAAUCUUGAGACCGGUUUUCUCCGAGUUAAAGACUGGCCUUGACUGCUUGCUGUCUCCGUAGGAGGCUUAUCUAGAGAAGCAGAGCCUGCAGCUACUAAAAGCUGGUUUCUGUGGCUGCAAUCCUCUUCCUCUGUUAUUUCAGUAUUUAUUGGAUCAGACUGGGAGUGGGUCUCACUUAUAUCCUUGGAAACGGGAGCCUCUUCUGUGUCUGCAGCAAUUUGGAUCACGGUGUCGUUAUGGUGACUGCCUCCUUUCUUCUCCACCAGGUUCAGGUCUUUUCCACCUUCCAUUCCCACUUUGCUACUUCUGUUGAAAGGAAAAUAGUCCGACUUGUUUUCUACUAAUUCAGGUUCUGGGUUUCUCUCAUGGAACAAACUUUUAUAAGUAAUAUGAUUGAUUUGUUAUUAAAUAUUUUUAACCGUUGUGUUUUCAUUAUAUAAUGGAAUGACCAUACCUUUAAUCUAGUUAAAUGACACAACACUACUGUGAUACUAAGAACAGAUAAGUAAUGAUAUAUUUUGAGAAUAAGAUUAAGACGUGUGUACAUAGACUAAAAUUAGGGGUUAGUUUAAGAUUACAGUGAUCGAUGAAAUAAGAUAUUUUUACAGUGUAGAUGAAAUAAAUUUUUAAUGAAAUAAUUUUUUUUAAAAAAAAAGAUAGAUUAGUGUUUAAUAAAUUGUGUUAUUAAGCUUGCUGUGAGCUUAAAAAGCAAAAUAUAUGUGUUUAGUAAAUUUUAUUAAAAAAAUAUUAUUUUAUUACAUAUUGACCAGAAUACACAUAAGUUGAAAUUGUCUUAUAUUUAUAUAUUAGGAUUAAUAACAAAGUAAAAUAUAAUUAUCUUUUUGUUAAAAUAUUAAAGUUAGAAUAGGAAUGUGAUAAUUUAUUUAAUAAAUUAUUUAUUAAAAGAAAUUUAUCUACUUUUUAAAAUUACUGUCAAAAUUGAAUAAUCUUUGAAAAAAUUUACCAACUCCUCAAAUGGUUGCCAAUCAUUUUAUUUCUGUUAAGUGGUGAUUCUCAUGAGAUUCAAGUAUUUCAAACUUUUUUACAAGAGUAGCAUUACUCUAAAUAACAUGAUAAUUUUUAAGUUCUUGUUAUAAGCGAAUUCUAGAAUACUUAUGAUGCAUUACAACUAAUUGAUGUAUGCAUGAUAUGUAUAAUUGAAUUUAAUAUAACCACCACAUUUAUAAUAAUUUUUUAAGAUAAAUAAACACAUAUUAUAAUGAUGUUUACUUAUUGUAUGAAUGGUAUUUCUGAUAUAUUCCAGAUUUUUUCCGACCUUAUCAAUCGUGAAGAAAAAGGUAAUCACCAUGUUGAGACCCUGUAAAACAAUUGACAAAAUAUAUCCCUACUUAAAUAAUACAAAAAAAAAUCUGGGAUAUGGGUGACUUUAUACAGAAAAAUAUGGGUGCUUCAAUAAUUCACAACUGGACCCAAGUGCCGGGCUGCCAGCUCUUGGGGCUUUUAGGCUACAUAUCCAAAACUAAAAAGAGAAAAUCAGCCAGCAAAGUGGAAUAAAGCUGUAAAUCCAAGAAUAAAUAAUUGGAGUCGUCAUUUUAGUGGACGCUUUUUUUUUUUUGGGUUUAUCUUACUCCUAUUCUAUGCAUAACUUUAAAAAGGGAAAAAAACACAUCUUAUUUUUUAAAACUAAGUCAUAUAUAUUUAAAAUUAUCUAAGUGCGGAUGUUAUUGAGUGUAAUAGACCAUAUGUCAUGAACUUUUUAGCUAGCGACUUACGACCAAUGAAAUCAUGACAUGUGACGUGUCAUGCAUGCACUUAUCAUGACUCAUAAAUGUAAAAUUCUAAUUAGGUGUGUACUGCCGCAUACUAUAAAGACUGUAUUGUUUUAUCUAUUAGUGUAUUGAAAUAUGUAAUUAUUAGUAUUUUAGUGCUAUCAUAACUUUGUUAAAAUAAAGAAAUCCUUAUUAGAGAAUUAUUCAACAUGAGUUAUAUAUACGAAAAAGUUUCUAUUAAGGGAAUCUCAUAUUUUAUAAAAUUGAAGAAAAUUUUUCUGUUAAGGGAAUCCGUAUUUGAGUUAACUUGAAGAAUGAAGAAGUAGAUUUAUUCAAUUUUAAAUAGGGAGGUAUUGUCAUUGUUUUCAUAAUUUUUUAAUUGAUAAAACCUUCUUUUAUAAUUUUGAUUAUUGAUCAAAUCUCUCUUGUAGAGUCAACUUGGAUUAGAGCAUCAUUUAAUUUCACUACAAAGCGUUAUCAAAAUCUCAUUGAGUUGUUUGAAUUAAAAUGAGAUCAAAUCACACUUUGAUUAGAGUAUUACCUAAUUACAUUGACUUAAUCCCAUAACAAUAUCUACUAUUCAUUUAUCCUAUCAAUUUGCUUCCGCAACCCUGCUGCAGCCACUUAGGUUUGCAGCCACUUAGGUUUGGCCGCCGGUAGCCCUCCCUUCCGAGCCAGUCUCCUUUUACCUUCACUACACUACUAUAGAUACAUAACUUCUUCUUCACUCCUACCUGAACUCCUUCUUCACUCCUAUAGAUAUAUCUAAUUUCUUUCUCGAAUUUGUAGGAAGUGAUGCAUCUUGUGGUUGAGCCAGGGCGUGGUCAAAGGGAAGGUUUGAUUGUCAAGACUUGACAUGCGACUCAAUUGAUGUCAAUCAUCUUGUCUUGAAAAACAAAUGGUUUUUCUUUAACUAAAAUAGGCACAGUCUCAAUUACAUCAUUAGUCGUAACAUACCUAUUAUGGUAUCUCGUCUUUUGGCAUUUCAAACGUUUCUUCUUCAUGAAGAAUAGGUAAACUUAUUGGCACAUCUUCAUUCAUUGUCUUAGGGACAUGCAAUUUCUUGAAUGUAUUUACAACUAUUUUGCCCAGUCUCGGAGAUAUCCAAUUACUUGAAUGAAUCUACUGUUGCUUUACGUUUACCAAUCACGGCAUCAAAUCGUUAUUAUAACGACUCAAUUUUUUUAGCUAAAGAAAUUGCAUGGUUUAAAGUUUAGAUAGUGUAUGAAGGCAUUUUACUUUUAUUAUGAAAAGUUAGCCCUUCAAAAAUAUCUUGUAAUUAUGUGCUCCUCAGGUUCAUAAUAAUAUUUACACCUAUAAAAUUGUUCAAACUCAUAAGCAUAAUUAAUUAGGAACUAAUCUCAUAGCUUGUCAUAACAAACAACAAUCAAGACAGAUGAACAUGGAUCUCAAAAUUUGCCUCAUACCAUUUCAUGAUUGAAUUAUGCAUUAUCCUAGCUGAAGUCAAGACUUUUGUAAGUGUUGCCACCAAACUCGAACGCUUUAUUUCCAGUCUACGGGCAACACAUUAUACUUUUCUUCAGGAAUGCACCUAUUUAUAAGCCAUUGCUCAUUCGUGUCCGACCAAUCAAGAAAUUUCUGAGGGUACCAGUAUGCAUGAAAGAACGGCACAUUGUAAAUGGGGCAUUAAGGACGGUAGUUUAACAUUGGUUUUCAAUUUCCUUGCAAUGUGCAUAAUGUGAGUGGAAUCCAAAAUAUACAUGUGAAUAGACUAGACAUGCAUCAACAUCAAUUGAUCUCUACCUGUAAGAUUGCAAAAGAAGCUUGGGGUAUUCUUGCAGACACACAUGAAAGCGAAGUUGUGUUAAAACAUUCUAAACUUGAGCAACGUACAACUGAAUUUGAAAAUCUUAGAAUGUUUAUAUGAACAUGGGGAAAUUGUUUAUUUUAAUGUUGUACUUCUUAAGAUUGCUUAUGAAUCUUAUGCUCUUGGUAAACGAACUUUUGAGGAAGAAUUUAUUCAAAAGAUUUUGAGAUGGUUGCCUGACAGAUUCAUACCUCAUUAAAAGGUGGUGUCAAUUGAAGAAUAUAAUGACAUUAGCACUUUAACUCGAAGUUCAGUUAUAGGCAGAUUUCAGACUUUUGUGAUAAAUUUUCUAAAGAAGGACAAGAAAGAGAAAAGCAUCGCUUUUUAAGCUGAAGUACGAGUCCAAGAGAGUGAUUCAAAGGAGGCAAUUGAUGACAUGGAUGACAUUGGCAACAGACUUUUGUGAUAAAUUUUCUAAAGAAGGACAAGAAAGAGAAAAGCAUCGCUUUUUAAGCUGAAGUACCAGUCCAAGAGAGUGAUUCAAAGGAGGCAAUUGAUGACAUGGAUGACAUUGGCAAAUCACUUGAAUUGCUAACAAAGAAGUUUUGUGACAUUGGCAACAGACUUUUGUGAUAAAUUUUCUAAAGAAGGACAAGAAAGAGAAAAGCAUCGCUUUUUAAGCUGAAGUACCAGUCCAAGAGAGUGAUUCAAAUGAGGCAAUUGAUGACAUGGAUGACAUUGGCAAAUCACUUGAAUUGCUAACAAAGAAGUUUCACAAGGUGGUGAAGAAAAAAGGAGGCUACAAAUAGAAACAGUCAUCAAGAUCUUCAUUUUCUUAAAAGAGUAAGUCUAAAUUUAUUUUAGUUUGUUUGAUUUUAACCCAAAAAAGGAAUUCAACGUAGGGAAUGUGAAUGAUAUUGUCAUACUCAGUCACAAUACGCUAAGACUCUCAUGAACGAAAGAAGAAGAAAGUAAUGCAAACAUCUUGGAGUGACGAUGAUUCUGAUGAGUGCAUUGAUAACGAAAAUCUUAUCGGAGGACUUAUGUUGCUUGUAAAGAAAUUUAGAUCAUUAUAUAUAUAGGUAACCUAAUUACCACUCUAAAUUAAUUAGUUACUGUUCACGAGCACAAAUAAACAUACACUAGAAAUAAUAAGUUGCAGAAAGUAGAGCAUGCAAAGGAUUUAUGUGGUUCGUAUAACAUUUCUACGUCCACGUAGCAAUACUCGGCCAGGGAUUAGUCAGUACACUAAGUAUAGAAUGAUUAUAAUCUAUUGGACUUACACAACCUAAGAUUCCCUCUCACUAUUUGCUGUCGCCUUGUUGAAUUAACUUAGACCAUUUUGUUUAGUCAGCACCGCUUAUUUUCUUGUCUACAACUUUGAUGUGAAGUCUCUUUAUUGGUACCAACGUCCCAUCGGGCCUCCCGAAGAGAUAGAUAAUGAAUAGAUUGAAAGCCGAAUAAUACUGAAGUUGAACAAAUAUACGUAUAAUGCUUGAAUAGCUCUCGGUUUGUGCUAUCAAUACAGAGCCCAAAUAUGGCUCAAUUAUAAUAUGCAUGCACCGCCUCAUAUGCAAGCAAAUCCGAAUCCGAUUCUUAAUUAAAUAAUAAAGCAACCAAAGCCGCGAAAUUUGAAUUAUAAUCCAAUUUAUUCAUCUCUCACGUAAUGUCCUUAAUUCAAAUUGAACAAGGCUUGGUCAAUUAUCUUAUGAAGCCUCCGAAGCCAUGCACUUGCCUUCUCGUGUUCAAGUUGUCUUUUCUUGAUUAACUUUGUCUAUGCAUGCUUCAAUUUGACAAGAAAUGAUCUUGCUCCAAGUGCUCAAUUCUUCUAUUUGUAAUAGAAGAACGAAAACUAUUUCUAAGAUAAUUAAAAUAAGAUUACAAUUGAAUAAUAACUCAGAACCCAAUAAUACAAGGAUAUAGAGUUUACAGGUCGAAUGAUAUUGUUUUUCUUGUCUUUAAAAGUAUGAGUACAGUGAUAUAUAUGUACAUGUUGCGAUGCUGUACAAGAUAAAAAUUAAGUGAAAGUGUAAUUAACUAUUUUGAUUCGUGGCCGCUAAUUGAGGAACUAGCCAUUGAAGAGUCAAUGAGAAUCAUGCUUGAUUUCUUUUCAUGAGUUUUCCAUAGAUUGAAUCAAUCGAUCUGGUGCGAAUCUUUUUACCAAAACUAUCAAAUUGCCGUGUUUGAUUCAGGCGCUGUUUUAGAAAAAUGCCCAUUGUUGAUUAUUCCUAACAAAAGAAUGCCAAAUUAACUAAAGACUCAAAAAUCUUUAACAAUCUCUCCCUUUAGCAUCUUUAUGGCAAAAACAACUUAAGUAGAGAAAUUAAAUAUUCCUAAAUCAUUAAAUAAUAUAAAAAAAAGAAUACUGCAUGGAAAGCUCUGAAAACCUUGGACAUGGAGGAAACCCUAUCUUCGGAGGGACUUUUCCCCCGCCGUUUAGGGAGGCUAGAACGACCAAAAAAGCGAGGUUUCGUGAUGAGGAUCAUGCUGGUGUUAACCAUGCGCAGGUCUCGUACAAAGAAACCCUAGUGAAUGCGACGCAAGCGAUAGAGCAAGGAUUUGGAGGCGGACUAAAGGAUUGGGAUUUUGAGGAAGGGGACGUUAUUGAAACUAACGAGGGACCCAUGCCGUCCAUCACUUUCUCGGCUAGGGUUCAUGCUAAGUUGAGUGAGCCUUGGAAGAACUCGAUUGUUGUAAAGUUGCUUGGCUACACAAUUGGCUAUAGAGCCCUUUGUGCAAGAUUGAAUGUCAUGUGGAAAUCAGCCAUGGGUUUUUUGGUGAUUGACUUAGAGAACAAUUAUUACCUGGUUCAUUUUCGCUCGGUAGCAGAUGUUGUUGACGCUCUAACUAAGGGGUCGUGGCUUAUAAUGGGUCACUACUUAACGGUGCAGCCAUGGACGCCCUCUUUUGACUUCACAAACACAGCUCUUGAUCAAGUCACGGUAUGGAUCCGCUUACCUGGUCUUGCUGUUCAUCUUUAUGAUCGAAAAAUCCUACAGAAGCUCGGUCAGUUAGUAGGCAUUGAAUUUAAAUCGACUCGAAUACAACCUCCUCAUCUCGUGGAAGAUUUGCCCAUCUUGCAGUGAGUAUCUCAUUAAUUGGGCCAGUGGUGUCUCAGUUUGAGUUGGAUUGGAUGAUCUAGAAGGUGGAAUACGAGGGAUUGCCAGUAAUAUGUUAUAAGUGUGGACGUUACAGGCACAGUAGUAGUAACUGCAAGGAUGCUGGUAACUCGACAAGUUCUAAAGAUGCUGGUCAACCCCAACAGGCUAUGCCAGGUAAUGAGGCUCCUGGCCAACAUGAAGUAUUUAGUAAUGACGAUAGAAAUGUGGAACCAUUUAGACCCUGGAUGAUUGCCACCAGGAGAGGAAGGAAGCCUAAUAGUGGUAAGGAGAACACUGGUGACUCAAAUCGUAAUCGGGAGUUUAUUGGAGCUGGUACUUUAAGGUUUCAAAUAUUAGCUUAAGUCUCGAAUGAAGGUGGAAACCAUGUGCAUGCGGCUUGCACAGAUUUCCCUUCCACCUUACGGCAACCAUUUAUACCCGCCUCAAACCCUAUUUUUACCUCCAAUACAGAAAACACAGCAAAGACUUUGGCUCGUCGUAAGCCACAAAAUAAGGCUGUGGCAGCAAGAACUCAGAGUAGGAAACCAAAUGUCCCAGUGACUCCUACCUGUAACCCUUUCUAGCAGAGUGCUUUCAAUAUCAGAGAUGAGGAUAUAACUCCCUUACCCCAUGCAAACCAAAAUUUUAAACCACACAUUUUCCCUCAGCAAGUUUCUAGCAAUCAAAUUGUGUCCCCUUUCGCAACUACCUUGGAUCCCACUAAACAUACAGUGGUCUUUUGUUCUUAUCAAACCCUUCCUAAUGGGGAUAUGAGGGAAGUGGCCACGGAGCACAUAGAAAGGCAGGGACCGGACCCACAACACUUAGUCGAUCCUCCAGAUGAUCAAAACACCCUUCGGGCGAAGGAAGGUGGAAAUGCUUAUACCCAUCCAGCUGUGCCUAUGAGUGGUGUUGAUGGGGAUGGGAUGGCUGAUGAUGAAGAUUCGAUGGUUCAAGAAACGCAGUUGGCGUUGAUGGAUUAUGUCAUUGAACAGCAGUAGUAGGCUUUUAUCCUCUCUUCUUAUAUUUUUUAUGUCAAUAAGUAUUAUGUUCUGGAAUGUCCAAGGGGCAGCCUCGGGGGAGUUUAGGUGCUCGUUUAGGACAAUUAUUAAAAAUUACAAUCCAUCGAUGGUUGUUUUAAUGGAACCUUGUAUUAGUGAGGUUAAAGCCGAUGACUUUAUAAAGAAGAGUGGAUUUGAUUAUUCGCACCGGGUGGAAGCUGUAGGAUUCUCUGGAGGAAUUUGGCUUCUUUGGCGAAAUUCUAUAGAGGUGGAGGUUUCAAUUAAUUAUAGGUAGUUUAUUCACUUUAAAAUUUGUAUGAACAAGGUCUUUGUGUCUUGGGCAACGACUAUUUAUGCCAGUCCAAAUCCAAUGUUGCGGAGACAACUGUGGUGUCAUAUGGAGAACCUUGCGCUUUCAAUCCAAGGCCCUUGGUUGAUUGAUGAGGAUUUCAACUCUAUCUUAUAUGCUUCAGAAAAACAGGGGGUGUGGUCAGGAACGUAGGAGUGUGUAAUUUGUUUUGGAAGUGGUUUGAUGAACAUCAAAUUUUUGACUUAAAAUUCAAAGGUCCAAGGUUUACUUGGUCAUGUUGAUUGCUUUUUAAACGGCUUGAUAGAGCUUUGUGCAACAGUGAAUGGCUGCUUAAGUAUACGGAUAAUUCUAUGGUCCACCUCCCGAAGGUUGCCUCGGAUCACAGGUCGGUGAUGGUUCGGUUUAAGAGAGUUGUGGCUGGCCAUCAGAGGAACAUGCCUUUCUGCUUUUUGACUACUUGGUUAACACACGAGCAUUUCAGUAAUUUUGUAAAGCGGUUGUGGAAUCCGCAAACCUACUAUAGUGCAGCAGCUUCUCAUUUUGUUCAAGAGGUUCAAGCUUGGAAACGAGAUGUGUUUGGGAAUAUCUUUUAGAGAAAACGUCGGCUUAUGGCUCGGAUUAAUGGGAUUCAAGCCACUCUAGAGAACUAUAGCUCUCACAAUUUGAUGCGAUUAGAGGCCCGCUUGCGAAACGAGCUCGAAAUGGUGAUGAGCCAAGAGGAAAUUCUUUGGCUUCAGAAAUCUAGAAAUGAUUGGCUUUUGCAUGAGGACAGAAAUAUGAAUUUUUUCCACCAAAAAACUAUUGCUCGAAGGCGGCGGAAUAGAAUUGAGGCCAUCUGAGAAAAUUUGGGGAAUUGGCUAUAUGAUGAGGAAGAUAUAAGGAGGCAUGCAGUGGGGUAUUUUUCUGAUUUAUUUAAAAGUGAAAAUGCAAUUUAUCAAAAUUACCACGUUCCAAAUCUAUUUCCAACCUUGGAUUCUCAUGAUGUUGAUGGUGCCGCAGCCCCAGUUUUGAGGGAGGAAAUUAAAAGAGCCGUGUUUAGUAUGAAGCUGCUGAAAGCCCCAAGUACGGAUGGUUUGCAUGUUAUAUUUUAUCAAUCCCAAUGGCAUGUUGUUGGUCCGUCUUUUUGCAGACUUAUUGAUGAUAUUUUUACCACGGGCAAGGUCCCACAAGAGAUUAAUACUACCCUCCUAGUUUUGAUUCCUAAAGAGAAGCACCCUACUAGCUUAAAGAUGUUUAGGCCUAUAAGUUAAUGCACAGUUGCCUACAAGACGGUGACUAAAAUUAUAGCUAAUCGCUUACAAUCGCUGCUGCCCAAUCUAAUAGGCCCCAAUCAGACAAGUUUUAUUCCUGGGAGGCAUAUAGUAAAUAAUAUUAUUGUGGCUCAGGAAGUAGUUCAUUCCAUGCGUAGAAAAACUGGCAGGAAAGGAUUUAUGGCCAUUAAGGUCGACCUAGAGAAGGCAUAUGACCAGUUCAAUUGGGAUUUCAUUUUUGAUACGCUUCAACAUACUGGUAUUCCAAUUCAUUUAUCUAGACUCAUAAUGGAAUGCAUAACUUUAACUAGUAUGAGCAUUUUGUGGAAUGCUGAGGCUACAGAGGAUUUCAUUCCGGGGAGAGGUAUCUGUUAGGGAGAUCCUCUCUCGUCUUAUCUUUUUGUUCUUUGCAUCGAGCGGUUAAGUCAUGAUAUAACCCAAGCGGUGAUGGAUGGGAGAUGGAGGCCUAUUUGGUUGGCCAAAUAUGGAACUCCUCUAACACAUCUUUUUUUUUACAAACGAUUUACUUUUAUUUACGGAAGCUUCGAUUGAUCAAGCUUAUGUCGUUGAAGUUGUUCUGGAUAAUUAUUGUGGGAGUUCUGAAGCAAAAGUCAAUAAAAUGAAAACUAAAGUUUUCUUCUCUAAGAAUGUUGCUACUUGGGAUGACAAUCUCAUAGGUUCCACAUUGGGAUUUUCAGCCACAAAUGAGUUGGGUGAUUAUCUUGGAAUGCCCUUAAUUCAUUCGCGGGUAAAUAAAGAUACGUAUCAAUCCAUUCUUGACAAAAUAGAUAAGUGGCUUACUGGCUGGAAUACGGCUCAUCUAUCUUUUGCUGGACGAGUCACCCUGGGUCAAUCAGUUCUGCAAGCAAUGCAUGUUUAUACCAUGCAAACGACCUUUCUUUCUUCUCCGGUGCGGCAUAAAAUAGACAAAUCUUGUCAGCGUUUUAUUUAGGAUGGGAAGUCAAAGAGUCACAAGAUGAGUAUGGUGGGAUGGGACAAAAUUUGCAUGCCGAAAAAUCACGGAGGUCUAGGGUUUAAAAAAAUAGACGAGAUGAACCAAGCGCUGCUGAUGAAAUUGAGUUGGGAAGUUAUUUCUAGCUCGGAUAAGCUGUGGGUGAAAGUUUUCUGUUCCAAAUAUGGUUUGGAGUCUCGCAACUUACCGAUGUCCCUUCCAGAUAAGCCGGGGUCUCGAAUUUGGAAGGCUAUUCGUAGUACGUGGUUGGCAACAGUGCAUGGUGCUUGCUGGUCUGUUUGUGAUGGAGCUAGAACUCGCUUCUGGUUAGAUUGUUGGGCUACUGAUAACUAUAUGAAAUGAGAGUUAUUACAUCAAUUCUAGACUUAAAUCAAAAUCACUUAGAGAGCAAAUGAUGUGUUUUUAUUAUAUUUUGGUUAUAUUUUGCAUAAACAUUCAUUUGAGUUGAGUCUUAAUAAGUUUUCCUUAAAUUAAAGUAAUUUGUGCUCAAAACAUGUGCAUAAUUGUAGGUUUUCAUAAAUUCUUAAUUCAUGAAGGGAUGUUGAGACAUUAGACUAGCAAGAGGUGGAAAGAAGAUGGCUGCAAAAGAAGUAAAGCACAAAUCGGGAACAGUGUAAUGUUGUAGCUGUUGUUAGAGCAACCAUUGUUGUAGCAAUUCGGGAGCACUGAGGGAGAAAACUUAAGCGUGAGUCAACUGCAAAAUUGCGUUCUGAAUGUUUCCUAAUUUAACUCAUGCACGCCCACGGACUUUUAUUUUACCCUAGGUUACAGUAUAAAAGGAGGGUGUGCAUUAUAUAAAAGGAUAUUUGAGGGAGGGAUGUAUAUUUGGGUGUUUUGGAUAUGUGUUUAUGUAUGGGUCAUGUGAAGCUCUGAUAUUUAAUAUUUGUGUAUGGAUUUGAAAUCCUAAUGAAGAUAAAUUGAGUGUUAAAAAGGGUGAUUAUAAGAAUGCCGAGUAGAGACAGUAAUAAAUGGAGAGUGAAAUUAUGUCCUUACACAUAAACUUUGGUGGAAUUGUAUGAGACUGCUAGAGCAGAACCAAAAGAAUAGAAAAAAUCUUAAGUUUGGGGGAAAAGCAAGUUUGAUUGACUGUGCUAUCUAUGAAAUAAACUCUAUUCCAAUGGCUCAAGUUGCUGAGUAACCAGAUCUGAGUAUGUACCCCAUAUGCAGAGUUGUGUUCAAAGAUAACAAGAGUUAUGAGCAACGCUGUAGCAUUUUAUGUUAAAAAAAAAGGAAAAAAAAACAAUAAUACAAUAAAGUCAUAUGUCUAGGACAUUGAGUAGCUGUUGUUAGAGCAACCAUUGCUGUAGCAAUUCGGGAGCACUGAGCGAGAAAACUUAAGUACGAAUCAGCUGUAGAAUUGGGAUCUGCAUGUUUCCUAAUUUAACUCAUGCACACCCACAAACUUUUAUUUUACCCUAGGUUGCAGUAUAAAAGGAGGGUGUGCACCACAUAAAAAGACGGCGGGGGGAAUUAUCAUGGAGACAUUAGAGAAAAGAAGAGAAGAAGAUAAGAAUUGAAGAAGACGACUUUAGCAACAUUGAGAAAUCCUGCAGAGUUAUUUGGAUUUGCUUUUUUCUAUUCUCAACUUAUAUCUUUCUUCUUUCUUUGACUGUUUUGAUGUAUCCUGUGAACAAUAUAUUACUGUUUGUUUUUCUCAUUCAGAAUAUAAACUAGAUUUGCUUGUAGUUGGGUGACAAACAAUCUAAUGGGUUCUUGACUGUUCUUAUUUGUUGUUAUGUCAUUGUUGUAGCAUUUCACUCUAGUAGUUAUUAUUAAUAUAACUGUUAUUUCGGUUGACAACUCAUUUAAUGGUUCAAGUUAAGAUAGAGCCGCAAAAGAGCAUGUCUUAGCAGAUAUUAUUAGAGUAUUACUUGAUCUUAAAUUAAGUUUCUUGGAUUAAGUUAUUUUGAUUCUCAUAAGGGCUAUACUUGAAGUUAAUAUUUGUGAUACACUAGACAUAGGUGCUCACUUUGUAGGGUGGAGGGACUAAGGGGUCAUAAGGUCAUAUCAUAAGUAGAUUAGCAACUGGUCAUUGUUAAUAUAUUUAAGGGUAUGAGAGUUCCAAUACGCGACAGCUGAGGAUGCAGAUUAAUUCUGCCCAGUGCUGCAGUAAUUGCCGUAACAACUGGUGUUAACUUGAUGAAAAGCAGUCAGCCCAUAAGGAGAGUUUGAUCAUUCAACUACUAUAGUCUCAAUUGAAUCUUAGACAUAGUUAAUUUAGUUUAUUUCAUUACGGUAUUGUUUUACUUUAUUCUCUCACAAUCAUCAAUUUCGAUAGAACCUACUUUACGUUUGUUAACUUCGAACUUAAGUUAGAUUGCACUAUUGUGAUUGUUGUAGUAUUUCAAGUGACAUCAAUUCCUGUGGAGACGAUCUUGAAUAUUCAUCACUUUAUUACUUGUUGUGUAUACUUGCACAUUGGCAUCAGUAGCAUUUGAUUAUAAAAUUAACCAACAGCUAUGAAAUAUAAUCCCUUGAUCAGCCUUGCUCUCCAGCCGAUUCCUUAAGAAUUUAUCAAUGCCACUGUAAGUGAAUUUACAAAUGGGCAUGGGGGCUGGAAUUGGUCGAGAUUUGAGCAUUUGCUGCCGCAUUAUACUCUCAUGCAAAUUGCUUCAGUCAUGCCUCUGGCUCCUCAUCUUGGGGCUGAUAAAAUUUAUUGGGGUUUUGAUCCAAGAGGCAUGUUUACGAUUCCGUCAGCUUAUGACUCCCUUUGCUAUCAACACUUUGCUGAUCAUGAUAGAAAUUGGAAGCUACCAUGGAGUUGGAAGGGGCCUUAAUCCAUCAGUCUUUUUCUUUGGCAGCUUAUGCAUGGGAAACUAAAGACUCACAAUGAGCUUGCUAGGCGUCAUAUUCAUGUUCCUAUGGGCUGUGAUAGGUGUGGGGGUGCGGUUGAAGAUAUCCUCCAUGCAUUGAGAGACUGCAGCUAUAAUAAGCAGGUUUGGCGUAAGCUUGUCCCAAUGGCAAAUCAUAACACGUUCUUCAACUCGAAUUUACGUGAUUGGAUUGUUGGUAACUUGCAGAAUAAGUGGAAGAUUGCAUCUUCCCUCCCUUGGGAAUGUAUCUUUGGUGUGGCAGUUUGGAGGUUGUGGUUAUGGAGGAACCAUUUUUUCUUUACGAGGAAGUUGGUGGAUAGCUUAACAGUCUAUCUAGAUGCUAUGGCCAGAGCUAAUGAAAUUUACAGAGUUAAUAACUCCUAUAGAAGCCAUCAGCCGAGGAGAAAAGAGAUUUUUAUUCGUUGGAUUCCGCCGCCAUGGCCAUGGUGCAAAUUAAAUACAGAUGGCUCUUGUAAAAAUGCUUGGGAAGCAGGAGCGAGAGGUGUUAUUCGAGACUAUGUCGGCCAUUAGAUUUCCGGAUUUUGUAUGAGAAUUGGGGAGAGUUCAGUGCUUAUGGUUGAGCUUUGGGGGCUAUAUUAGGGCCUAAUUCUUUCUUGGGAUGUAGGCAUAAAACGGUUGUUGGUGGAAGUGGACAGUCUUUGUGUUACACAAAUGAUUUCUAAGCAGGUGGUCGUUCCUAACGUGUUCUAUACUUUAAUAGUUGUUGUCCGGGAAUUAUUAAGUAGAAAUUUGUAAACUCCUAUCACCCAUAUCUAUCGUGAAGCAACCUUAGCUGCGGACUUCAUGGCUAAUAUGGCUCAUUCGUGGCUUGCAUGUGUUCUCUAACUCUCCUGUGGGUAUUUAUUCUAUCAUUUCGCAAGACUUGUUUGGGGUUACUCAAUCCUGUUUUGUUCAUGUUUAGCUCAUUUUGAUGAGCCCCCUCUAAUAAAAAAAAAAAAUAUAUAUAUAUAUAUAUAUAUAUAUUCCUAAAUCAUUAAGUAUUAUAGAGUGAAAUAAAACCCAUACACAUGCAAAUAAAAACAAAGAAUUAACCAAAACAAAACAUCAAUGUACGUUAGUUCAAUAAAUAAUGACCAAAGGAAAAAGAAAGAAGGUUAUUUGUUAAAUCAAUAAAUGCAUUGCACAAUAAAAAAUAAAGACAAAACAUAUGACUCCCCCUGUCGCUAUGCGCAACAAUGAAAAUCAUUACUCCCCCUAGAAAUUAAAACAUGACUCCCGAAUAAUUAGACCAAUAUUACUCUAACGGACCGAAAAAUUAUAAUACCGAGCAAUUUCGGUGACAAAAUCAUCGAAGUCAAUCAAUCGAUUGGCAAGACAAUCAGGUCGGGUACAAAAGAAAUAAUCUAAAAGAGAAUUAUAAAAGAGGGAUUUUAAUAAUUAAAAAUUUAUUGAAUUUUUUAGAUUAGAACGAAAUUUAAUCAUAUUUUGAUUAGAGCGUAAUUUAGUAGUAUUGACUUAGUCCAGUUCUAAAAUGAUAUUUAGUAUUCAUUAAUCCUAUCAAUUCGCUUCUGCUACACCGUUACGUCAUAACCAUUUCUUGCUCUAUUAAAAAUUUGGCAAACUCUACCAUAAAAUUAUAAAAAUUCUCAAUAUCUCACAACUUUGCUAGAAUUAUCCAAACUCAAAUAAUUGCACUGGUCGAGAGAUCAUCAUUCUCAUCAAAGGCUAAGCAUAAAUUAAACAAGAAGUGAGACCAUCAGCUUUCCGGUGGCGGGGCAGCUGAAGAAGUUGCCGAUCCGACGUAGCUGACCUGAACUUCUUGAGGGACAACAUGGUAAAUUCUUAUAGCAACUUGUUCAAAUAUUCUCGUUAGCUCUAACACUAGUUCAGAUCUCCUGUUAAUUUUUUCCUCGUAAUUCUCAAAGAUUAUGAUGUGAGUGACGUAAAGACCCAUUAUCAUCUUCUCAUCCUUAAUUUGCUUCACCACCACACUGUGGUUUGGACUCCAAUGCCGAGGCUUGCUCUCUAAGUAGCUGCCAUAAAUUAUUAAAGCAAGAAAAUAAUUAGUAACGACCAACUUCAUGCUGUAUAUUAAAUAACCAUACAUCAAUGCUAUUGUAGUUGUUGUUACCAAGGAGAGAGAUUUGUGUAUUUUUCACAUUUGAAGGAUGUAUUGGUCACAAUUUGCAAGUGUCUGGAGUAAACUACAUUUAUGCCAAAUUGCAGAGGUAUUUACAAUUAAUAUAAAAAAUGAAGAAGAAAUAAUAAGAGGGGUUCUUCUAUGAUGCUGUAAUUUUUUUAGAGAAUCAAUAAUAUUUUUAAUUGUACACCAUUGGAUUUAAUCAAUGGUACACAUUAUUUGUAGUAAAAAUAAUAAUAAUAAUAAUGGUAAACGGUUAACAAACGUGUAAGGGGUGGAGAAUUUUGUAAAAUAACUAUGACCACCCUUAGAGUUUGAAAUAAUUUCACUUAAAUAGCAUAUUUUAUUUGAAAUGUGAUAAUCUUUUUUAAAUAAAUCUUUCAAAAUCUAUUACCAUUAAGUAUAAAAUAUAAUGAAAGAUUAUUUAACACAAAUCAAAUAAAUAAGUUGCAAUUGUAAAAUUUAUAUAUGAUAUAACACUAAUAAAUAACACAACUAAGUACAUAUACUUAAGUAAAUGUCAUAGUCACAUCAAUAAACUCAUUGUUAAGAUUGCUUGUAAUAUAAAAAUUACUUGAUCACACAUGUUUUAAUAAAAUUUAAUAGCAUAUAUUAAAAUACUCAUUAUUUUAUAUAAUAUAAAGUACCAUUGUAUAAUUGAUCACGAAGUAUGUAUUAUUUUUAACACCCAUUUAAUGUAUUUAUUCUCUGAACUUUAUAUUUAUCUUACAAUUAAUAUCCUUAUAUGGUAGGAAUUUUAAGUUUUAUAAGCCUUUAUAUUUUCAUUUUAUUUUCAAAUAUCACUUUGUUAAUUUCAUAAAAGUUAAAUCUAAUAUAUAUUCCUAAUAAGCUUUAGUUUAUGAAUCGUGAAAGAUUAUUUUAGUGAUACCCUUUGAUUGUAAUUAUAAAAUUUUAUGUUAUUAAGAGCAUUACUUUUGUUAUGAUAGUUAAUAGUGACAAUAAAUAAAAUAUUGCCUUCAAUAAUAUUUACGUGGGAAAAAAAGUGAAAGAAAAUCAUUUAUAUUUUUAAAUUUUUAUUGACAUGGUAGGAAAUUAUCUGAUCCUUAUAAAAUUUAACUUUCACAAACUUGUUUUCAUUUUAUUUUCAAAUGUCACUUUGUUAAUUUCAUAAAAUUCACUUUGUUAAUUUCAUAAAAGUUAAAUCUAACACGUAUUCCUAAUUAACUUUAGUUUAUGAAUCAUGAAAGAUUAUUUUAUUGUUAUUCUUUGAUAGUAAUUAUAAAAUUUUUAUGUUACGAAGAGUCAUUACUUUUAUUAUGAUAAUUAAUAGUGACAAUAAAUAAAAUAUGUUAUUCUUUGAGAGUCAUUACUUUUAUUAUGAUAAUUAAUAGUGACAAUAAAUAAAAUAUUACAUCAAAUAAUAUUUAAUGGACAAAAUGAGGAAAAAACAUCAUUGUAUGUUUCCAUGUUUCCAUUAUACAGAUAUGAUUUGGGAUACUUUAACUUAAAAUUUUGACACAAUAUUUGAGCCAUUAAUAUCUCAUAAUCUAAUGGUUGAUAUUAAAAGUCAAAGCAACAUUUCAUAAUGUUAUAUCCUCCACCAUUGAAUUGCAUGAAAUAAAUAGUUUAAUUUUUUGUUAAAAUUUUAAAUCAAAAUAUUUCUCACUCUAUAGUUAUAUAGACAUAUAUAUUUUUCAAUAAUAAUUGGUGAAUAAAAUAUUUCUCAUUUGUUAUGACUCAUAUAGUAUUAUUAAUAAAACACAUAUAAAAUAAUGCCUUCUAUUAUCAUUAUUGUUUAGGUAUUAAUGGUUUGUAAUUAAAUUCAUACAAUACAAAUUAUUAUAAGAUAUUGUGUUAAAUAGCCUACUUGAUAUUAUAUUAUAUACUAAAUGGUAAUUGAUUUUGAAAGAUUUAUUUAAAAAAUAUUAUCAUAUUAUAAAUUUAAAGGAGGGCUGAAAAGUAAUUUUAAAUAAAAUAUAUUAUUUAAGUGAAAUUAUUUCAAACUCUAAGGGUGGUCACAAUUAUUUUACAAAAAUUCUCUACCCACUUGAACGGUUAACAAACUAUUUAUCAUUAUUUUUAAAUUAUUUUUUUAGUACAAAUAUUGUAUACCAUUGAUUAAAUCUAAUGGUUCACAAUUAAUAUGUUAUUGAUACUGUAAAUUUUUUUACAGCAUCAUAAACAUAAAGGAACCCUAAUAAGAGAGGUUUACCUGAAUGAAUUAUGCGGAUAUAUAUUUUUAGUAACCACCAUAAUUAAUUAUUAAUUUCUUUUGGUGGACGAUUGGUUAUUUUCUUUAAAAAAAAAUAAUCAUGGUGGACUACUAAAAAUCCAUAUAUGUGAUAUAACAAUGGACCAGAACUCCUUUCAAACCCCUUAUAACCAAUCAAAAAAUAAAGAAGAAAACGAAAAAACAAUGGAAAAGAUUCUAUCAAUGCAUGACGUGUAGUUUUGUUUUAAAGAAUUGACUUACUUCUUUAUUUUAGAUUUCAGAUGUCCAAUCUUCUCCAACGGUGUGAACACAUCUAUGGCAAAUUCCACCGCAUCCCUCAUAUCCACUGUGCUUCUAUAAAAAUUGCUGAUGGGUUUGCUUGCUAGAACUGAAUUUGGAUAAAAUAUUUUCUCGUUGUCAUACCUCAAAAACGUGGUUGUCAAAAUGUGCAUCUCCUCAACCACCAUCUGUAUAAUUGAUGUAAAAUAUGUCAAGCAAAUUAACUCAAUAUUAUAAAAUUGAAUACACGUAUUUUAGGAAAGCGACCGAGUAAUUAUUACCUGCACUCCAUCAAUGACGCAUCGAUCACCAACAUCAAAUGGGUGUGUCACAAAUAAAAAUAUGAUGGCUUCAAAUACAUUCUUGGCAGUGUUACCGAACAAGAACACUGCAAGUACAACUUGGGACAAAAUAACUAGAAGAGCUUUAGUGGUUAAUAAACCCACUAUAAGCAGCCACACAAUAAUGAUCAGAACAAUCACAAUCCCCCUAAAAAGCCUGUUCAACUCUUGCAUGGCUUCUUUGGAAUUAUUUAAGUAAUGUGCCAGAGAUUUUCUUUGCUUGUAAACAUUUACCUGCAUACACCAAGUGCAUCAUAAGAAUGGUUUGAUGGCACUCACGUACCUUGAACGCCAACUACCUAUAAGGUCUUGGUUCGAGUUUUGGGAGCUUAAAAAGCACCUACGGCUACUUUAUCCCUAGACCCAUCAGAUUUUUUUACUUCGAAAAUGGUCAUGAGCACAAUUUACAACAGAACUUACCACCCACUUGGUAACAUCUGAUCUCUUGACCCUCCCAGUUUCUGCCUGUCCCAACCUCUGCAUUAUUUCGUCCACCUCUUCCUUUAUAAAGAAUCGCAAGAGAUCACACUCGUCCAUAUAUCUGGUCAUUUGCCAACGUACAGAAACAAUAGGCAUUGUGAGUCUGAGACCAUAAUUCUGGAAGUGGAAAAUUAAACAAAAUGUGGAUGGAAAUUUAAAAGUUAAAGUAUCCUCACUUGCUGCCAGGUCCGGCAACAUUCUGGAAAAUCUGAUAAGCAGCAGCCUUUGCUUCCCAUUCGCUUUCAAUAUUCUUGUUGUAGUCACCAUCAAGUUCAUCAUUCUCACAGACAUCAAGUUCAUUUGAGACAAUGGACAGCUUUGUACUGCUAAUGUGAUUUAUUAACUUUUCCAUGGUCCAUGCAGAAAUUUUCUUCAUCUUUUUACGCUUUCCACUAACAUGAUAAAUCACCUCCUCUUUGUCCUCUUGAUUUUCAGUUCCAUUCUUCAUACUCAUGCUGCCUACUCUUUCACUGUGCUCUAUCAGUGGUGAACCCGAACAAGUGGAAAUAACAUAUUCAUCAAACAUGGCUUCUUGAAUCUGAUCGAAGAAUCUCUUUGAUAAUCUUGAAGCAACUAGUAACUUGAAUGAGAAAGUCUUAACCAUCCAUAGAACGGCCCCAACAAGACAAGCAACAAG
rnacentral:lncRNA from 1 species